ACCAAUUCUGGGGGAUGAAAAGUUCCUCUAGGUGUAAUGGCUCGGCGCUACAUUUAACGUUUGUGGCUAUCCUGAUCGAUGGUUUCUUUCAAUGCCAUUUGAUCCCGGAAACACCACAUAUAUUA